AGUGAACGCUGGCGGCGUGCCUAAUACAUGCAAGUCGAACGAAGUGGCGCACGGGUGAGUAAUAUAUAGCUAAUCCGCCCUACUCAGAGGGACAACAGUUGGAAACGACUGCUAAUACCUCCUAGUGUAGGAUGAGACUAUAUCGUAUCAGCUAGUUGGUAAGGUAGUGGCUUACCAAGGCUAUGACGAGUAACUGGUCUAAGAGGAUGAUCAGUAGAAUUGGAAGUGAGACACGGUCCGAACACCUUCGGGAAGGAGCGUUAAGGUGUAUUACGCAAUGGGGGAGUGCCUGGAGGGGCAACGGGGCGUAAAGGAUGACACUUUUCGGAGCAGAAACUCCUUUUAUCAUGAAAGCGGUACCUGAUGAAGAAGCACCGGCUAACUCCGUGCCAGCAGCCGCGGUAAUAC
rnacentral:rRNA from 1 species